rnacentral:rRNA from 1 species
CCUACGGGUGGCUGCAGUCGAGAAUCAUUCACAAUGGGCGAAAGCCUGAUGGUGUGACGCCGCGUGGAGGAUGACGGUCUUCGGAUUGUAAACUCCUGUCAAGUGGGAGUAAAGCUUGGUGUUAACUGCAUCCAAGUCUGAGAGUACCACUAGAGGAAGAGACGGCUAACUCUGUGCCAGCAGCCGCGGUAAUACAGAGGUCUCAAGCGUUGUUCGGAAUCACUGGGCGUAAAGGGUGCGUAGGCUGUGUUGUAAGUCAGAGGUGAAAUCCCGGG